rnacentral:misc_RNA from 1 species
UGAUUCCCAACACAAUCUUCACAUUCUACAACAGUAUCUUUUUGAAUGCUGAAUUAUACACCAACUUGAAACAAUAUUUGGUUGAAUACUUCACUAUUUGAGUGCCUCUUUCAUCUUUAGCAUAUCUUACUCUAAAAUUAUUUUCAAGCUCCAAUCAUUUCUGUUUAGUUGCAAAAGUGAAAAAAAGCGGAAUUAUUUUGGUGAAGAUCGAAACCAUCCAAAAACGAACCUUUCAUGUAUGGUGAGAAACUUACUAGCACGUAAUCAUUACUGAUUGUGAAUGAAGAAAAAAAAAGGUUUAUGCUUGAGACGUUAUCUUCACAAACAUGAGGUCCCGAGUUCGAUCCCACUGCAUGACAUCUUGGUCACAUGUCUUGUUCUCAGUCUAGGGUCGACCCAAACAUGGUGAAUGACAACCCAUAGGCCCAAACUGAAUGAAAACUCAUGAGAUUGCAAAUGUAAUUCAAAGGGGUCAGCCUUGUCACGCUGACUCUGCUUGAGGAUUGUGCUAAUGGUACAACUGUUUAUGGUAUACUCUGCCACUUACAUUACAAUUCUGUGAUUAGGUGUUUCCACUGGUGGAACAGAAGGAAUACGUAUCAAAUGAAAAAUGGACACACAGAAAUGUAGAUUUGAAGUGAGCUUUAUCACCCGUCCUUCUGUGCGUCGUCUUUUACCCGCCUACCAUCUUUUGUUUUCUAGCUGACAGAAAAAUCUAAUUGAAAUCGAUAAUUAAAUCUUCGUAAAGUAGGUGUUUCUAAGCACCGAUAACUUGAGAUUCUAUUAUACGUUGGAGGAUAUAAACAGCAGCAGGGAACAUUUAGGUAGUGUUAAAGCAUCAGAAAAAAGAUAUUUAGCUUUACAUUUUACGUUCUGAGGUCAACUUGGCAUUUCAACCUUCGGGGGGAGGGGUCGAUAAAACAGUCGGUAUUCAUCGGUAUUGGUCUAGAGAUCGCCGGUUUGAGGAGACGACGUCAUUCACCCUCUACUUCAGCCUAGCCUCUUUAUCUGUCAUGGAAGAAUGAUGAGUGGGUGAAUGACGUCGCGUACCAAUAUCGAAGAAUUACCAAUUAAUUAAUACAUAGUCCAUUUAAUAUUCCUGUAAUACAUUCCUGGUGUUAAUGGAAUUAUAUUAAUAUAUAGCAACAGACAAGGUUGACUUGGAACAGUAAACACAGUAUUCUAGAGAGUUGAAAUCUAAGGGAGGUUACUCUAAACGUUUGCCUACAAACACAGUUCGCACAUGCCGAUGUAAAUACAACACCACUGUAAAUAUAUUUUCUAUAAAGUAUUUUUAAAAUACACCAUCUUUGGAAUGAGUGUUUGAAAUCACAAAAAAUAGAUGAAAUCAAAAUGCUAAUUGAAGCAGUACUGGAUGACGUUUACGAUAAAUUCGUUGAAGUUGUGGAUGCCAUUGUCUGCAGGAUUUUGGACAAAAAACAAACUUGCUAUAUUCAACAAAUACUUCAGUCUUCCCAUCCAUUUGAUGGUCUUCAACACCUUAAGAGAGUAAAAUGCUGUAAAACGCAAGAAGGCUCAGUUUUGCAAACCAUUAUAUGCCUCAAAUCACAAUUACCAGAAGAAGUAACUAAAAACCACUUGACUCUGGAAGAUUUGUUCGGAAAGGAUUCAGCACCAGAAAUGGCAUGUCUACUCGGGAAACCUUGUGUAGUUCAAGUUCCUGUUUCAGCGCCUCAUACUAGAAAGCAGUUUGAAGAAGCUUCAGUAUAUUGGCCUGUUCAUUUCCAUGAAGACAAAAGGAUAACUAAUUUACUCAACGGUAAUUAUUUCAACAAAUCUCAGGAAGCCAGCAUAACCAGGCACAUGACCAAAGCAUUAGAGAUGGCAAAAGUUGGGAAAAGUAAUAAUGAGCGUGCAGUUGGAGCUGUCAUUGUUGAUCCAGCCUCUGAUGCAGCCAUUGCUGCAGCUUAUGAUUUGCGUUGCCAAUCUGGUCAUUUCCUGAAACAUGCUGUCAUGUUGUGUGUAGAUUUAGUUGCUCGUUCUCAAGGAGGGGGAAUUUGGAAGCCACAAGGUUCAAUGGAAUAUUUAGCAAUCUCGGAUGUAACAGGAGAUAACACAAAGACAGAUUCUCAGCCAUAUCUGUGCACAGGUUAUGAUCUUUAUGUUACCCAAGAACCUUGUAUUAUGUGUGCCAUGGCAUUAGUUCAUUCACGGAUAAGGUGUGUGUUUUAUGGUACAUCUUCUCCUGAUGGUGCUUUAGGGAGCCGUUACAAGCUUCAUCUUCAGAAGAAUUUAAAUCAUCACUAUGAAGUCUUCCGUGGAAUUUUAAGCAAGGACUGUGAAACUUUACUUGGUACAUGAUGUUGAGCUAAAUACCAUUAGUUCUGUCACAGCUAUCAUCAUUUUAUGUCAAACAUUUUGACGAGAUCAGUAAAGAUGUUUCAAAAUUCUUUGAGACCAAAUUUAUACAGCUUAA